rnacentral:rRNA from 1 species
GUAGGUGACCUGCGGAGGAUCAUUAUUG